rnacentral:misc_RNA from 1 species
GGAGGGACUUCCGUCUUGAUAUUAUAAGUGGUACUGGACAUAGAAUCUGAAGAAUCUAGGAUACUAUACUCAAUCUCAUCCUGGUGUCUCGCAUUUUAUUGAUGUUCCAUUGGUUCCUGAUACCACUGAUAAAUGCUGUCUUGGAGGGUGCCAAAGUUCUCCAACAGUUUGAUAAGAAGUUAAUUCCGAUUGUGUCAAACACAACGCUUGCUAUAAUUGAUCAGGUCUAUUCUGGCCUUUGCAUAGUCCAUUAUGCCUGUUCUUGGUCUCUCGU